rnacentral:lncRNA from 1 species
AAUGCCCGAGGCAGCCUGAGCGCGGCUGGGGCUCGGAAAGCGCCAAGCAGGCAGGGACCGAGAGGGGUGAUGGCGCGCCCACCCCUGCAGAGCCGCCUGCGCGGUUGUCCCGCGCGUCCCUGCCGGCGAAGGCUGUGAGAAGCACCGCGGGGCUACGGCGCCUCCAUCCUCUCUAACAGCCGCGCUUACCAGACAGCCAGCCUCCAGCGCUGCUAGGCUACUCCGAGCAGGGGAGAAAAGACGCCGGUCCGCCGGGGACCAGGAGGGAGACGUGAAACCAGAGGCCCGGGGGCCCCCUCUCCGCCUGUGCGACUUGUAGUCUCGUACCAGACGCGUCCGCUUCACUGCUGAAUCUGAAAACGUGGGCUCUUGAGAGCUGCCCUUGGAAGGAGCUGUGCUUUCUGCCUCAUCUUUAACUUUUCGUUUAUUCAGCAAAUAUGUAUCAAGUUCCGACUUCGUGGAAGAGAUUGUGUUAGACACUGGGAGUAAUAGAAACAUAAUUAAGAAGCAGGGGUCCCGGACCUGAAGGGCCUGAGCGUCGGGUAAGGAGGCAACGCUUACACCGAACCUGUGCUGAGAUAAAUAACGAACAGUUCUGGCUCUUAGAGUUGGCCUGGGGGAACAAAAAUUCAAAAAGAAUAAAACCCCAAACAAACAGGAGGCUCUCCUUUGUCCUUUGAACGCCUCUGUCCCUUUGACCCUCCUGGCCUUGCGUGUGCUGCUUUUCCCAGUAAAUACUGCAAGGACUCUAUUCAGACUUUGUUUAUUUAUAUAUGUAUUUUAGAUGGAGUCUCGCUCUGUUGCCCAGGCUGGAGUGUAGUGGCACAAUCUCGGCUCACUGCAACCUCCGCCUCCUGGGUUCAAGCGAUUCUCCUGCCUCAGGCUCUCAAAUAGCUGGGAUUACAGGCGUGCACCACUAUGCUGGCCUGAUUUUUUGUAUUUUUAGUAGAGACGGGGUUUCGCCAUGUUGGCCAGGCUGGUCUUGAACUCUUGGCCUCAAGUGAUCCGCCCCCCUUCAGCCUCCCAAAGUGCUGGGAUUCCAGGCGUGAGCCACCGGGCCCGGCCUCAAUUCAGACUUUAUCUGCUUCAAGAAACCUCUCUGGGAUCCUCCGUCACUUCACUUUUUCAGGCAGCGUUAGGGCCUUGUCCUAACGCUUUGGGACGGGGUCCUAAUACUGUCUGAAGGAGCGAAGUGUUGGAAUGCUCAAACAGUACACUUCGUUGAUUUUGUACUGCCUCCUGUACCCUAGACUUUGAACCCUUUGAGACAGAUUAAAUGUGAUUUUGGUCUUGUAUUCCUCGCUGCCGUGUGCUGCUGAUUAAAAGUUUUUAUUUUG